UAGGGGCACAAUCUCCACAAAAUAUUAAGUUAUCAAGUACCAAGUUUUCUUAAAAAUUUUCCUGAGACGUAAAUUAUUUGAUAUUUCGAAGGGUGGGCCUUGCGUACAAAGUGCUUGUAAUUGUAGUGCGACCUGUCGUAUAUCACUGGCUAGUUUCACAGCCGCGGUGAGAUUGAGAUCAGACUGCUGGGGUGAUUCGAUCAACUGCCUGAUGCAGGACAAUCAGGAGCUGCUUCUCUCGCCCCAACUGAUCGUAUCUUCUCUGGUGGAUAGUGACUGGGCUAGGUCGUAAUGCAGUCCAGAGGAUCGGUGGUCAACAGCAAGUACCACUCGUUCAAGAUUUCUGUGACAGUUCAAGAACAACGAGAACUACCCGUAUGAUUUCUGUAACAGUUCAAGAAGUAAGAUUCUGCCAGGGAUUAAGCCAAGUUCCCAAGAGAUGAUGGAUUUAUGAGCUGCCAACUAAAGAUGCUUUAUCGAUUUCUGAAGAGACCUGGAGUUUUGGCAAUACUUCACGACACUUAUACUAUCGGAGUUGAGCAGCUUCGUCGUCGUCCACCGAGGGUGAUACGAUCAACUGCCCGAUGCAGGACAAUCAGGAGCUGCUCUCUCGCCCCAAGCAACUGAUCGUAUCUUCUCUGGUGGAAAGUGACCGGGCUAGGUCGUAAUGCAGUCCGGAGGAUCGAGGGUCAACUGCAAGUACCUCUUUUUCCAAGAUAUCUGUGAUGGUUUAAGAACAGAGAGAACUUCCGGUAUGGAUUCUGUAACAGUUUAAGAAGUAAAAUGCCGCCAAGGAUAAGGCGAUGUUCCCCAGGACGUGACGUGAUAGUUUGAGCUGCUAACCAAAAAUGCUUUUUCGAAUUCUGGAGACCUGCACUUUUGACAAUACUUGGCGAGAUUAAUACCAUCGGAGUUGAGCAGCUUCGUCGUCGUCGUCCACUAGGGGUGAUACGAUCAACUGCCUGAUGCAGGACAAUCAGGAGCUGCUUCUCUCGCCCCAAGCAACUGAUCGUAUCUUCUCUGGUGGAUAGUGACCGGGCUAGGUCGUAAUGCAGUCUGGAGGAUCGGGGGUCAACAGCAAGUACCUCUCGUUACAAGAUAUCUGUGACAGUUCAAGAACAGCGAGAACUUCCGAUCCCCAAGUGACGGUGCCGUGAUGAUUUAUGACCUACCACCUAACGAUUUUUUUGGAUUUCUGGAGACCUGGAUUUUUGGAAUACUUGGCGAGAUUUAUAACAUCGGAGUUAAGAAGCUUCGUCGUCGUCCACCGGGGGUGAUACGAUCAACUUCCUGAUGCAGGACAAUCAGAGGCUGCUUCUCUCGCUCCAAGCAACUGAUCCUAUCUUCUCUGGUGGAUAGUGACCGGGCUAGGUCGUAAUGCAGUCCAGUAGGUGAAGAAUAAAGUCUCGUGGAGUAUUCAAUUUAUGACAUGGCUCGAUGCUGAAAUUUUGUCGGUUACUCGACUUCUGUAUCGAUGAAUUCCUGGGCAGCAGUCUCUAGUGUCCAAUUGGUACAUCCUGUUCAUCGGACUCUUCAGAUUCGUUCUUGUUUGUCAUCGACUUCACAUCCGAACAAUCUACAAACCACGCUGGCAUCAUUCAUCAUU